CAGUGGUGGGCCAAGUGGAAGCCAGGAGCCAGGAGCUUCAUCUGGGUCUCCCAAUUAGGUGGCAGGAGAUGCCAGCAUUGCAGACAAUGGCUUUAGCACUAUGCCACACCAGCAUCCAAACCUAGAAUGUCCUUUUUUAAAAGUUGAAUAAUAUUCCUUUGUAUAUAUCAUGGUUCAUUAUUAAGGUAUAAUGUUUCUAUGAAAUAGGGGAAAAUAUGUAUGCAGUGAAGGACAGCUAAAAUCAACAAGAAAUUAGUAUAUUUAUGACCAUCACCAAAAUACAAAGUUAUCUCUUACUUGCAAGUUACAUUGUUAACAGUCUUUCAGAAAUACAUUAAAGAUCAGUGGUAAAGAGAUCUACUAGGUUACAUGAGAUAAUUAAAAUGUUUUGCAGAAUGUUAACAAACAGAACUGACUAUAUGAUCUACAGGGGAAACAUCCAGCACCAGCUAUUUUUAUAUUCCACUUUUUCUUCACUGGGCUGAGGGCCAAUAGUUUGAACCCAUCAAGAAGCAGCACAUCCUAUAAUAGCAUUCAACCAAGAAACAGGAGCAGAUAGAAAACACAGCCUCCUUCCUCCUCAACUCGACUGAGUCUCUAAUGACUUGUAUCCAAUUUGCACAUAUGCUUUGUCAUCAAGCUGUAUGAGUAAGCUUUUUCACUUUUAAACUCGUGUGACAGGUAAUGGCACUUUAUGGAUGGAGAACAGUAUUGCACAGUCCAUUUAUGAUUCCCACAGCAUGUUUUUUCCUCUUUUUCUUCUAUACAAAUUAAUAAGAUGCUGUUAAUAGUUCACUACUAGUAGUGUAUUAUUGUGUUUUUUUAACUUUUGGGAAUAACUCAAACAAUAGUGUUCUCAAACAUUUAGACUUUGUCAUUAAGGAUGUUGGUCCUAUGUUGGAAUCUUAUUUUGGUAAGUGUGACAAGAGGAGUUUAUAUGAGAGUCUAGCAGAGGAGAUAGCUCUUCCACAAAGUCAAAGGAACCAAGUCUCUCUUUGGGUAGGGCUACGAUCUAUCCAACGUGUGCCAAAACUCUCUCAGAGAAGGAAUCAGAAAAUAUAUUCAAGAGUAGCCACUUGACCUAGAAAUUAAGAUAUCUGUUCCCCACAUGGGAAUACCUGGGUUGCACAUCUGUCUUCAGCUCCUGACUCCAGCUUUCUGCUAAGGCACACACUCUGAAGAUGAAGACUCAAGAACUUGGGUUUCUGUCACCCAGCAGAACACCUGAACUGAGUUCCUGGCUCCUGGCUUUAGCCCCCAGCAGUAGAAAGCAUUUAAAGAGUUAAACAAUGGAUUGGAGCUCACUGUCUAUUAAUCUCUGACUCUCUGUCUCUCUCUUUCUCUCUUGUUCUAUCUCCCUCUCCUGCUUUCUCUUUGUGUCUUUCUGCACCUCAAGAAAGUGUUUAUUUUUAUUUAUAUAAAUAAAACAGAUUUCAUAUCAGAUAUCUAACUUAGAAGCAACAAACUGAGGACACAGAAGGUAAAAAGUGUUUACCCCAGUGGCAGAAUCUGGAUAGACACAGAAGCCUUUGAUGUGUAGUCUAGUUCUCUUUCCCCCUGGGAAAUUAUUAAUCUUCUUAUGAUUUCUAGUUUAUAAUCGCAUAAAAUCUAGUAAGUCACAUUGCUCAGAAAUAUUAUCAUUUGGAACGGUCAUCAAGUAAUGAACCUUUUCAUAUGAAUGAUUACUAAGAAUGUAUCAGUAAAUUAAUUCUAAUGACACUGAAAAGGCAGAAAGUAUUUGCAGUAAUAAAGUUAGCAAUAAGGAGAUAAUAUAAUUAGCCAUAGUCAUGAAUAAUAUCUUUCUAUAUGCCAGAUAUAAUGUUAGUUACCUUUACCUGAGAUAUCUUUUUUAAUCUUCAUCACAACCCGAAGAAGUUGGUGGUAUUACUGGAUGGGAACACUACAUUCAGUUGAAAAUUUGCUGCAGAAAAAAAGUGUGUGGUUGGAACCUUGCUUUCAGAGGAUGAACCUGUCAGCUUUAUGUAAUUUAUAUUACUAGGGGGGAAACCAUGGAUGAGAAACUUUGAUUCAAUAAUUGAGAUGAGAGAAAUAAGAGAGGACUUUAUUUAGAUACAUUGAGCAACAGACUAACACUGGGAAACAAAUUCUUCAAGUACUUGGAAAUGUAGGAUAAAUACUCAGAAAAUGUAUGGGCCCAAGCAGAGUCAGGAAGCCACUUGCUUCAAUGGUGGAACCUAUGAAGUUUCAAGAAUAUGAAGUCAUGAGCAAAACAAUGAGCUCAGAAUUUUAGAAUGAGAUGAGGAAGAACAGGGCCAGCAGGAUAAUCCAGGAACACAAGGUCAUGGAAGAUGGCUUUGAGAAGGAGGUUGUGGACAACUGUGACAAAUGCUUCAGAAAGGCUAAGAUGGAACUUACAGAGCCUCACUCAAGAGAAUAGUUACAAGCCAUAGGGUCAAUAAUAAACUCCACGUGGAGCAAAAGAGCCUUGGCAGCCACCUCUGUUGCAGAAAUGUGAAUCACAAAAUCCCCGUCACAGGUGAUUGAAGUUUGAGAUUAUCAACGUGUCAGCAUUUCCAGGAUUGUAAUUUCUAUGCAAUUCCUGAUCCUAGUGUGUUCUCAGACAAAAUUGAGCACUACACCACGUGUGCAAGAGACUCACAAGAGAAGGUUAUGCACCCUUCAACUGAGAGCAGACAAUAAGGUGUACAGAUUCCAAGGGUAUAAACCGAAACCAGAAGACUGGUUAAGAGAUGACAGAACAAAUGAACCAGCCUAAAACAUCUCAGUCACAGAGCAAGACAACUUGAUACCAGUUUCCAGGGAAUUUUCUGUUUCUAAGAUGUGCAGUGUGGACUCAGCUAAGAACACUCCCUGAAGCCACAGAAAAGUGUAUAUCAGUUGUGCUCAGCUACUCUUCAGAGGUAUGUAUGUCACAAUGACCUUAGAAACACAAAAGACUGAACAGUCUGCUCUCUCACCACAUUCCUGUUGAACACCUGGUACCUGAGCAAGACUCCCACUUUGGCAUGUGUCCCAACUGCGGCUAGCCAUGGUUUCCCACAUGGGCUGAGCCACCAACUUCCCCAGAGGAGUCUUCAACUCCCAGGAAACUUGAUGCUACAUUUGGACCCAGAACCAAAUAAGUAAGAUGGAGGUGAGGGGUAGCAUUCUGUGGAACACACUUUGGAAUGUGCUCUUUCUUUGAUAUACAUGUUAGUAUUUCAUUCAAAAAUAUUAAGAUAUUAUCAUUUAGGUAUUUUUAUUAUGGUUACAAGCAGAAAAAAUAAAAAACAUUUUUAAAAAAUUUAUGAAUUGUGUGUUCUGUUGGAUUCUUCAGAACUAUCCAAAAAGAAAUCCCAUUUUAAGGAACAAAUGCUAGAUAGAAUUAAACCACAGAAACAUCUAAUCAGUGAUGAAAGGGUGAAUUUAAUAUAUAAGAAGGCAAAUGUGAAAGGGUACCUCCAAAAAUGAAGGGAAUGAAUCAGAGAAUGGAAGCGCUUUCUCUCUCUUUCUCACACACUCUCUCCCUUUCUUCCACUCUCUCUCCCCCUCCCCACCUCUUUCUCUCUCUCUCUCUCUCUGUCUCAAAAAAUAAAUAUAUACACACACAUACAUUUAUAUAUAUAUAACUUGCUAUAACAUCUAUGUACGUAGAUAGAUAUCUGCCUUGCUCUCUAAAAUGUAUAAAAAUCAGUUCUUAUUUUUAUAUUUAUGUAUUUUCAACUUUCUACAACAGUGUCUGAUAUGUUAUAUCUGAAAUAUGUAAACAUUACUUCAUUAAACAACAUUAAAUUUGAGAAACAUAUAAGCUGAAAGUCUACAAUCAAUGUAACCAGACUUUCAGGAUUAUAAAAGGUCCUCCAACAAAUCCAUAAUAAACACAUUGAACUGGCAAAUGAAUUUAUGGAUAAUCUAAAUGCUUGUAAAUAAAACCAGUUUAAAAUUAACUUUAUUCAGUAAGUACUACUCAAAGUGCAAAUGCAAGUAUAAAUAAGAGGUUAUAUAUAUAUAUACAUAUAUAUAUAGGCAUAUAAAAAUAUCUUCCAGGUUAACAACAAAGAUAUUUUUAAAAAAUUAGUAGCCAAUAUUUUAGAGUGGGGGGAUGGAAAGUUUUAUAUAUCUACUGGUAAGAGAGUAAACAGUAAUUAGAACAUAAGGAUAAAUAUUCUUGUGUUAGGCAUUUAGCAUAUUCUUCUCAUUUAUCCUCCUGUAUCCCUUCUGCACUAAAGCAAGCUAGUCAGUAGGUUUCCCAGACCCCUUGCCAGUUGAUUUCAGGUUGGAUUUUGCCAUGGCAUGUGGCAGCCACAAAUGUGUGCUUAGAUUUCUCAGAAGAUCUCCCUGUGAAGAAUAAAGUUGACUGAAGGCCUCCAGUUGUCCUUCUGUUGGAUCCAUUAGGUUCUCACCAAGCCACACCCUCUAGACUAUUAUCAGCCAAUGACAGAAAGACAAAUUGCCCAUUAUGGAACUUUUUUUUUCCUUCACAUUAAGGGAUUCCCUGUAAUGACAACCUUCACUUAGGAAUUCUGAGUUGGCCUAGGCAAGGCUUUCCCAAAGCUAUGCUGAAAUGUGAGGCUCCUCCCACUGGAUCUCCAUCCCUCCCUUCUCCUCUUUCACACGGGUCAGAGCCUGUGUAAGGUCUGAAGGCUCACCUCCCACUACUCUUGCACUCUCUCCCUUUGUAUUUCCAAGGUGUUUCCCUAAGAAAACUUCUCACAUGUUGAAUUCUGUCUUCAAGUCUGUU